GGGGCGAUGAUGUAAUUUCGGCAGCAUAAAAGUCUUGCAAACUUUUCGUAAGAGUUCAAAUCUCUUUCGUUCUACCA
rnacentral:tRNA from 1 species